GACGAACGCUGGCGGCGUGCUUAACACAUGCAAGUCGAACGAAGUGGCGAACGGGUGAGUAACGCGUAAUCAACCUGCCCUUCAGAGGGGGACAACAGUUGGAAACGACUGCUAAUACCGCAUACUGAAGGAGGGGCUUGCGUCUGAUUAGCUAGUUGGUGGGGUAAAGGCCUACCAAGGCGACGCUCAGUAGCCGGUCUGAGAGGAUGAACGGCCACAGUGGGACUGAGACACGGCCCAGACUCCUACGGGAGGCAGCAGUGGGGAAUCUUCCGCAAUGGACGAAAGUCUGACGGAGCAACGCCGCGUGAGUGAUGACGGCCUUCGGGUUGUAAAGCUCUGUUAAUCGGGACGCGGUACCGGAAUAGAAAGCCACGGCUAACUAAGUGCCAGCAGCCGCGGUAAUUC
rnacentral:rRNA from 1 species